AGUUCGACGGGUGGAAACUCCAGAUGGCUCAUUAAAACAGUUAUAAUUUAUUUGGCAAUAAAAAUUACACGGAUAACCGUAGUAACUUAGGGAUAAUACGUGCUCAGAUCUCCAAUCUCAGAUUGGAGUGUACAUAUUAGCCUAAAAUCAACAUUCGUUGAAUAAUAAUAUUUGUCGGAUCGCGUAAGCGCUGCUUGCGACAUGUCAUUCAAGUUUCUGACCUAUCAGCUUUCGACGGUAGAUUAUUGGCCUACCGUGGCUUUGACGGGUACGGGGAAUCAGGGUUCGAUUCCGGAGAGGCAGCCUGAGAAAAGGCUGCCACUUCUACGGUUGGUAGCAGGUGCGCAAAUUACCCAAUUCUGAUACAGAGAGGUAGUGACAAGAUAUAACGAUGCAAUCCGUUUAUCGAAUUGUAAUCGGAAUGAGGACAAUGUAAAAGCCUUAUCGAGUAUCAAGUGGAGGGCAAGUCUGGUGCCAGCAGCCGCGGUAAUACCAGCUCCACUAGCGUAUACUAAAGUUGCUGCUGUUAAAACGCUCGUAGUUGGAUAUCAGCCAGCAGGUCAUGCGCUGGUCAUGUUAAUGACCUAGGGCAAUGGCAGGUAAUCCCUGCUGACCUGUUGGCUUUUUUCAGGAAAGUUGGUCUGGUUACUCUUCGGAGUAAUUGGGUCGGCAGCUCCUGAUCGUUUACUUUGAGAAAAUUUGAGUGCUCAAAGCAGGCUUGCGCCUGAUGCAUUAGCAUGGAAAUAAUAAAACAAGACUUUGGCAUCGGCCGGGCGUAAGCUUUGCCCGAGUGUUUUGUUGCUUUGAGCCGAAGUAAUGAUUGAUAGAAGCAAUUGGGGGUGCUAGUAUCGCCGGGCCAGAGUGGAAUUCUUGAUUCCGUGAGACUAACUUAUGCGAAGCAUUCACCAGGUGUUUUCUUUAUCAGACUAAGUGGGGAUCGAGACGAUCAGAUACCGUCGUAGUCCAACCAUAACUAUGUCGACUAGUAUGCAUGUUGACUCCUCAGACCUCACGAGUAUCAAGUCUUUGACUCAGGGGAAGUAUGCCUCGCAAGGUUGAAACUUAG
rnacentral:rRNA from 1 species